UGUAAGCGUAUACCAAAGUUGUUGCAGUUAAAACGCUCGUAGUCGGAAUUUGGCAGUUCCGGAUGUGUGCACGUCGUGUGCGCACUUCGCGGGGAUUGCUUUUGUGGUCUUGCGUAGGAUGAGGCACUUUUAUUAGUGAACGUCCUCACGCAACCACUUUUUACUGUGAGAAAAUCAGAGUGCUCAAAGCAGGCAUUUGCCGUGAAUGUAUUAGCAUGGAAUAAUAGAAUAGGACUUGGUUCUAUUUUGUUGGUUUGUUGGGACUGAGUAAUGAUUAAGAGGGACAGUUGGGGGCAUUUGUAUUUCGGUGCCAGAGGUGAAAUUCUUAGAUUACCGAAAGACAAACUGCUGCGAAAGCGUCUGCCAAGGAUGUUUUCAUUGA
rnacentral:rRNA from 1 species